CUAGCCCUAGCAUCUUCCCACCUAGAAGGUGAGGCCAACCAGUUGUCUCAGUGAAUGAGCCGGACUUACAGACAUAAGAUUUCGUGGAUCAAGUUUGAGGAAGAGUUGUGGGUCAGGUUUGGGUCGACCAAAUUUAAAUACCGGGUUGAGGCCCUAUCUCGCAUCAGACAGAUCAGCUCAUUGCCCGAUUACCAGAGGGAAUUUGAGCAUCUGGUCAAUAAGGUCCACGGAUGGACACAACAGGCCUUAGUUGGGACUUUUAUCGGCAGGCUUAAGCCCAAACUCACGGACGAGAUCCACAUGUUUCAGCCCAGAAGACUAGAGGAAGCUAUCAGCCUGGCCCGCGCGAGAAGAGCAAUUGGGUCGUCAAAGCAAGCUGACCCGAGUGAAGCAGGAUUCAUCCCGUCCAACCAACGCCUUCCUCACCUGAUCAGCCCCUGCGAUCCCUAGCAUCAGCCACCGUUGCUCCGAAGUGCCUAUCUUAGGAAGAAAUGCAACGUCGUAGAGUCCUGGGUUUGUGCUUCAACUACGACGAGCGCUUCACUGCUGGUCACCAGUAUCACAGCCUGCAGCUUCUGUUGCUUGAGGGCAGUCGAACAGGGGACAAAGAAACAAAAGAAUGACGAGCCUGAAAUCUCAUUGCAUGCUCCCACUGGAUGGACUGCCGCUCACACCAUGAGGGUCGCCGCAACCAUCCGCCAAUAACUGGUGAUUGCCCUCAUCAAUAGCGGCUCCACACAUAAUUUUAUUAGCAAGAAAGAGACAAGCCGACUUCGCCUUCCAGUGGUGUUUACCAAACUGUUCUAUGUGAUGGUUGCAAACGGGAAUCCCAUACAGUGUCAAGGGCGGUUCAACGACGUACCUUUACAGGUCCAAGCGACAACAAUUGCACGGUCUUGACUCACCGGCCAUCCAACUGGUAUCACCUGAAGAAAUCGAUCGGGAUUCUGCCAGCAAGUAUUCUCUAUACCAUUUGCUUGCUGCCAGAAUUUGAGAGUAGCACUCACAACUAGAUUGAGAGUGCAGAAGCUCCUGUUAGAAUUUUUGGAGCACUUCUAGGACCCUGAUCAAUUACCAUCGGUCAGGAAAGUGGACCACCAGAUCAGCCUUAAGGAAGGGAUCGAGCAGUCAAUGUUCAUCCCCUUACAGGUAUGCAUAUUUCGAUAAGGUCGAGAUUGGAAGGCAAAUGAUAGAAAUGUUCAACUCUAGCCUCAUUCAUCCAAGUACCAGUCCUUCUCAUCCCCAGUUUUGUUAGUCAGGACGAAAGAUGGUAAAUGGUGUUUUUGUGCCGAUUAUCGGGCCCCUCAAUGCAGUGAUCAUAAAAGAUAGGUCCCCCGCUUCCACCAUGGAUGAUAUUUUGGAUGAGUUACAUGGUGCCGCCUACUUCAUAUUAACAGCAGGGUACCACCAGAUUUGAGUGCAUCUGACCGAUAUUCACAAAACAGCCUUCUAAACGCAUUACGGAUAUUAUGAGUACCUUUUAAUGCCUUUUGAUUCGUACAGUGCACCCUCUAUAUUUCAAGCAGUAAUGAACUUAAUUUUUCGUC